UCAAGGUGCAAGCUCCACCUCCCGGGCAGCCUAUUUCAAGGUGCAAGCUCCGCCUCCCAGGCGGCCUAUUUCAAGGUGCAAGCCCCGCCUCCCAGGCAGCUUAUUUCAAGGUGCAAGCCCCGCCUCCCGGGCGGCCUAUAUCAAGGCGCAAGCCCCGCCUCCUGGACGGCCUACUUAAAGGCGCAAGCCCCGCCUCCCAGGCAGCCUAUUUCAAGGUGCAAGCCCCGCCUCCCGGACGGCCUAUUUCAAGGCGCAAGCCCCGCCUCCAGGGCGGCCUAUUUCAAGGCGCAAGCUCCACCUCCCGGGCAGCCUAUUUCAAGGUGCAAGCUCCACCUCCCGGGCGGCCUAUUUCAAGGUGCAAGCCCCGCCUCCUAGCCCUAUUUCAAGGUGCAAGCCCCGCCUCCCAGGCAGCCUAUUUCAAGGUGCAAGCUCCACCUCCCGGACGGCCUAUUUCAAGGUGCAAGCCCCGCCUCCCGGACGGCCUAUAUCAAGGCGCAAGCCCCGCCUCCUGGACGGCCUAUUUAAAGGCGCAAGCCCCGCCUCCCAGGCAGCCUAUUUCAAGGUGCAAGCCCCGCCUCCCGGACGGCCUAUUUCAAGGCGCAAGCCCCGCCUCCAGGGCGGCCUAUUUCAAGGCGCAAGCCCCGCCGCCCGGGUGGCCUAUUUCAGGGCGCAAGCUCCGCCUCCUAGCCCUAUUUCAAGGUGCACCCUCUGCCUCCUGGGCGGCCUAUUUCAAGGUGCAAGCUCCUCCUCCUAGCCCUAUUUCAAGGUGCACCCUCUGCCUCCUGGGCGGCCUAUUUCAAGGUGCACCCUCUGCCUCCUGGGCGGCCUAUUUCAAGGUGCUCGCUGCACAGAUGGGAGUGGUUUUCUGCAGUGGUCACGGAUGAACUCAAUAACACCCAAGUCACACGCUGCUCCACCCUUACAGUGGCCUCGUAUCACAAAAGAACGUGUAGGUUGCUUUGUGCUUUAAGAGAACAGCUGAAAUAGGCUGGGUGCAGUGGCUCACGCCUGUCAUCCCAGCACUUUGGAAGGCCGAGGUGGGUGGAUCACCUGAGGUCAGGAAUUCGAAACCGGCCUGGCCAACAUGGUGAAACCCUGACUCUACAGAAAAUACAAAAAUAAGCCAGGUGUGGUGGUGGGUGCCUAUAAUCCCAGCUACUGGGGGGAGGCUGAGGCAGGAGAAUCGCUUUAACCUGGGAAGCGGAGGUUGUGGUGAGCCAAGAUCAUGCCAUUGUACUCCAGCCUGGGCAACAAGAGUGAAACUCUAUCUCAAAAAAAGAAAGAAAAAAGAAAACAGCUGAAAUAGGCUGGGUGCAGUGGCUCACGUCUGUCAUCCCAGCACUUUGGGAGGCUGAGGUGGGCGGAUCACCUGUGGUCAGGAAUUCGAGACCAGCCUGGCCAACACAGUGAAAUCCUGUCUCUACACAAAAUACAAACACUAGCCGGGCGUAGUGGCAGGAGCCUGUAAUCCCAGCUACAGGGGGGAGGCUGAGACAGGAGGAUGGCUUGAACCCAGUAGGUGGAGGUUGCAGUGAGCCGAGAUUGUGCCACUGCACUCCAGCCUGGGCGACAGAGUGAGACUCCGUCUAAAUAAAUAAAUAAGAGAAAACAAAACUGACCUCUAUAUAUUUUAUAUAAUAUAAAUUAUGUGUUCCAUAAA